ACACUGCGCGCACUUUCAGGUGACCUGCGGCGCAUGCCGGCAGGUUGAAACGGGAAGCCGGUGACGCAACAGGUCCUGCCUGCUGCCAGUCCGGCACUGCCCCCGCAACGGUAAGCGUGGAAAAGCCAGGCAAUACGCCACUGUGCUCGUGCAUGGGAAGGCGCCUGGUGCGAUGGCAUGCCAUCGGCCCGCAAGUCCGGAGACCGGCCUGGAAGACGACGGGUUG
rnacentral:ncRNA from 2 species